rnacentral:rRNA from 1 species
UACAGAGGUGGCAAGCGUUGUUCGGAAUUAUUGGGCGUAAAGGGCGCGUAGGCGGCCAUGCGUGUCUUCCGUGAAAUCCCUCGGCUUAACUGAGGACGUGCGGAAGAAACUGCAAGGCUCGAGUCCGGGAGAGGAGGGUGGAAUUCCCAGUGUAGCGGUGAAAUGCGUAGAUAUUCGGAAGAACACCAGUGGCGAAGGCGGCUCACUGGCCCGGUACUGACGCUGAGGUGCGAAAGCGUGGGGAGCAAACAGG